CGGGCUGCAGCACAACUGAUGAGCAUUCCCGAUGAUAGGAAACGCCGGAGGGUAAGGCAUUUUCCGCAGGGCAUACAGAAACUUCCCUCGUCGCACCGCCAGCAGCAGGAUGAUCGUCAUCAGGCACAUUGACAGGGUCAGCGUAACCCAUGAUCCACCCAUAACGAAACUCAUAGCGGACAUCUUCGAACAAUUUCCUCUACAAAAGCUUCUUGCGAUCCGAUCAACGUUUUCGCAUAUUUGCGUGAAAAAUACCGAUUCCUCCUUCUCAGUCAACGAAUUCUAAAGGAAAUUCGAUUCUACUUUAUUCAUUAGAACGAUCCUUUUCCUUUUUCGAGGAGGAAUACUGAGAAUGUCUUGUACACUCUGUUCAAUCACCGAUGAACUGAUCAAUUUCCUUGGCACUUCUGAGGUGUUUCGCCUGGUUCAAUGGGAUUUCUUUCGUUUCUCGGGCUGCAAGAGGCCGUGUCCUCGAAGAUCACGUCGAGAGGGUCGAGUUACCCCCUGAGGUCCGGCUCGGCGUACUAACUAGGUGUCCGCGGAGCGGCGGUCGCGGUGCGCCUCCGAUGAAGUCCGAAGAAGUGGAGGAAAGAGGUUGCCCCGGUCGUGUGCAACGCGUGUCAUGGAAUGACUCCCUCGGUUAUGCGUGCCCGUACGAAACAGUCUCCCUUAUAUACUACUGAAUACUCUGUGUACUACAUCAACGGCCAGUGGUUAACUCUUCCACCAAUAGAAACAAACACGUGGGACGUUCUGCAUGCGUGUAGAGGUGUCGGAUCGUGCGCCCGUACGAAAGGUGCCGGCUCGUUUGUCUCUCCGCGGGACGAGGAAAAUUGAACGCGCUUUCCUGAAAAACGCUGCGAUCGCCGGAAUCGGGAAAUUUCAGUUUUCUUUCGAAUGCCCUUUAGCGAGCACUUAGAAGUAAAACUAGGAGCGUUGAAGUUGCAAAAUUUUGGUUUCUUUUGUCGUCCUGUAGCAAACGCUUUAACCGCAGAAUGAUGAGCGUUGAAAUUUGAAAAUUUCGGUUUCAUUAUUGUCUUAUAAUGGGAACUUCAAAACCAACUGUGAGUGUCGAAAUUUAAAAAUUUGUUUCUUCAUUAUCCUGUAGUGGGUAUUUUGAGAGAAAAAUUGUGCGUCAAAAUUGGAAGAUUCCGAUCUUUUUUAUUAUUCUGUAGUGGAGACUAGAAACAAAACUAUGAGUGCCGAAAUUAGAAAAAUUGAUUUUUUCAUUGACCCCCAGUGAACGCUUUAAAAGCAAUUUUCGUUUUUGCGAAUAGGCAAAUAAUAAUAGCAACACUGAAAGAUAACACUGACUGUACUGAAAAAUAUCAUUACGCAACGAUGCAUCGUUAAUGCGAAGUUAUGCAACUUUCCUCUUCAUUUUGAAGAAUUUGAUGCUUGACACUUGCUACCAGUUCUAUGUACGAAUACUCUUCGGUUCACGUUGACAAGUUCGUUGGCAGUGUUUGCGAUGUUCUGCGAAAUCCGAUGAAUCUUCUGAAUCAAGUACUAUAAAAAUGAACGACACAAGAAAGUCGGGUCCAUUUUCCCGAACAACAAUGGCGUCAGCCAAAUUAAUUCAAAGAAGUACCAAUCCGUCCAACACAGAAGUAUUGCGUUUCAAUCGAGAGCCACGAUGUUGACAUUCAUUCACAAGAAAAGUAUCGAAGACGCCUGCAUAACUGAGCUCCAAAUUCGUAGCAAGAUACCUUUAUCAUCGAAGAUGCAGUGAAUGCUCCUUCCUUUUUAUCACCGUGACGAAACUUUCACAUUAUAUUCCGUGAAUGCGUCGGAAGGUAAACAUGUGCAGUCAAUGCUGCGUUUUUCGGUUCAAAGAUUAUAUCACGCGCGACCGGAGCCACUGCGCGGUUCACUUUCACAGGGAGAAAGUUUCUAUUUUCCGUUUCAACUGUAACAAUUCGGUGUAUCCCUAAAAAAAUCUCGUUUUGACUCCGCGUGUUCGUACCGAGGCAUCCGAUCGUUAAGGAGGACCGCUACAUCGUUACUAAGAUCCACUGCGUUACUGUUAGCAUUUAAUAUUCGCAUUAACGUAAUGUCGAAGUCCAUUAUUGACCACCGAUCACAGACGAAGAUACGAUCCAAGUAUCUUCAACCGGGCACAGUGGAACUUGGGAUUGUCCGAACCAGUUAAACGACUAAUUUGGAAUCUAGGUCCUAGAUAAAGGAAUGGCGUUUAGAAGAAGGAAUUUUGUUGCAAAUUCUUUGAAAGUGAUUCCUUGCGAGAGAAAGAUGGAGUGUGACGCGAAGAACGUUUCUACGACGUAUUAUUUCUUAAAAACAAAUCUCAAAUUUCAGUCGGUAUACCAGAAGAUUUAUCGUCUUUUAGUGAAGAGGAAGAAAGACUUGUUUGAGUUUAAUAAUAAUUAAUGAUUAAUAGUAUUAAUUUGUGAAAUAUAAUAUUAGCUUAGGAUAGCCAUCGUGCCGAUAGCCGAAGUGCCAUCGCACUUGAUGUUGCGUGCAACGUGAUGACCGAUAAUUAAUGAAACAAUGAAAAAUUUAAUCCUUUGCACUCCGAACCACUCUGGACGUUGGCUACCAGCUACUCAGCGCUACUUUGUGGCAGAAACGUGCAUUUACGGACCCUCGUAUUAUUUAAUAUAGUUUUGGAACCAAGUAACGUAUUAUAAUGACAUGGAACUUAUAUGAAUUGGUUAACAUCAAGAAAUGUAUAUUUGCAAAAAAAUCAAUAUUUUAUUUUUUAUAAUUUUGUACAGUGUGAUAAACCGUUCGUCUGUAUCACUUUCAUCGCUAUCGCUAUCGAUGCGAUCUCUUCGUCGCCUUGUUGGUUGGACGAUAUCACUAUCACUGCUAUCGUUUUCUUCUACAUUUAGUCUUUCUAACAUAUCUGUAUAAACGUCUAUCUGGAGCUCAUCUUCACUACUACUUGUGUCAUGAAACUCAUUCGUGUUUGAACGUUUUGUCAUUGUUCUAAUAAAAAGAAAUGAAUAAAUACGUGGGUUGAAAAUUUCUAAUUGUUAUUACUAACUCACAAAAUGAUAUUUACCAAAAGAACUUUUACCAAAAGAAUUUAUUUACAAAGAGAAGAAUCACUUUUCCGAUUUUCUCACUCGUUAGAUCUAUCCAUACCGCUCGACGCUUCAAACCAGACUGAGCUCAACUUUGAAAAUCUUUUCCUCCAGUUUUAAAUUUGUUUAUUUAUAUUUAUAAAUCUCACUAUACAGUGCGAGGUAUACUCGCAUACCGACUUUUCUUCUACAAACUCUCCUUAUCGCCCUUUUCAAGUGGCGCCGAGAAAUGCUCGGACCGUCGUGAGCACGCUUCUCACGUUCUCUUCUGACACAAAACCCGCUGACAAUUUUUUUAUAUACCUCAGUAAUUUUACUAUAUUUUGAUUUGAUUUCUUGUGCCAUUUCAAGAGAAAA